GUGAAAGUCCUGCUUUUAAGGUGGGAAUUGCUUUGGAUACUGUCGGGCCUGAGUGCAGGAGAGGUUAUCGGAAUUCCCGGUGUAGCGGUGAAAUGCGUAGAGAUCGGGAGGAACACCAGUGGCGAAGGCGGGUAACUGGACUGCAACUGACGCUGAGGCGCGAAAGUGUGGGGAGCAAACAGGAUUAGAUACCCUGGUAGUCCACACUGUAAACGAUGAAUGCUAGGUGUAAGAGGUAUCGACCCCUUUUGUGCCGGAGUUAACACAAUAAGCAUUCCGCCUGGGGAGUACGGCCGCAAGGUUGAAACUCAAAGGAAUUGACGGGGGCCCGCACAAGCAGCGGAGCAUGUGGUUUAAUUCGACGCAACGCGAAGAACCUUACCAGGUCUUGACAUCCAUUUAAAGCGGUAGAGAUACCGUGUGUGCUUGCACGAAAUGAGACAGGUGGUGCAUGGUUGUCGUCAGCUCGUGUCGUGAGAUGUUGGGUUA
rnacentral:rRNA from 1 species